ACACAAGGGCAGACUCUAACCACCUGCACGGCAUCGACCCUCGCAAUACUUCAAUGCACCUGAGCACUCUAGACCCCUCACCCGGAGCACCUGGUGUGCGCUCCCCAUCCAGGAUUGGCUCAAACCCGGAAACGCGGCGAGUUUUUGCUAGGGUCACAGCUAGGCCCUAGACGAACCUCCGCCGCUCCCACCACUCCGGCAAAAAUCACGCCGCCCAAGCAAGGCUUCGCUUCGGGCGUAGCAGGGUCGCCACAGGACUCGGCCCGCACGUGCUCCGGCGUGCGCGUCCUGGAAGCGCUCAACGCACCGCCCCUAGCAGCACUCUGGCCGUGCCUUCUCCGCCGACCCCGGCCAACCCCAGGUCCACCCUGACCCGCGGCUCCCACCCCAAGCUCCAGCCUGUACGUCGGCGUGCGCAACCUCUUCAGGCUCCUACCAGAGAAUGUAAACAGCAGGAACACCGUGGUCGCCAGAAAGAUCGCUAGGAGGCACCGCUGGAAAGUAAAGGAACUCUCUCCGCGGCGGGGAAACGCCGUGCACGGCGCGGAAGACACCUUCAUCUUUCAGGGGAUGAACAGGAAAACAGUGCCAGCCAGGCAGGGGAGUCCCUUUUGAGCCCGGUUGUCAUACGCAACAAUCCCUAAAUUCACAAAGUGUGAAGGGCCGCCAGACAAGUGGGCGUGGCUGGGGCUGGCGCCUGGGUCGGAAGUGACUCGAGGCUGAGCCGCUGGGCCAAUCCCGCGGCAUCAGGGCGGGGUUUCGGCCGCGUCGCUCAAGGGCCUCAGGGGACCCAGGGUGGCCCUGGUUGAACAAACACCCGGUUCCCCGGCUGCAGUCGGUUCCUGGGGCCUCACUGCUGCAGUGAGGCUGCGUCCUCUGCAGACCAGCCUCCAGGCGCUGGCUUGCGGGAAAGGGCUGGCUCGCCGCCGCUUUUGUAAACAGGGUUACCACCCUAUCCAGGAAGGGUGGAAGAGAAACUGCUGGCCUUGUCAUCAUUUCCGGUACCUUUGGCUUGCAGAAUAAAGCACAGCGACCUAAAAAUAGAGACCCAGAGGUCAGAUACCGAGUCGCUGUGGGGCCAGCACCCCUUGAGACUCGCCCUAUCCUGGCGCACCCCAGGCUGCGGGACUGCCUGGGCCCUUACUCUGUAUCUGGCGUUACUCAGGCAUUAUUAGGGACAAUACUUGAGUGUUCCUUGCUUAAAUGUCUGCUGCUAAAUUAUCUCAGGGCCUUUUUUUCAGUUUCCAAAUCCCACAGGUCUGACUAUUGCACCAAUCUCUAAGCACAGGAAAGAAGGUGAGGGGUGAGAGGAAUGCAGACUAAGAGGUCGAGUUCUGCUGAACACUGGACAGCUUUCCCAUCUUCGGGUGCACACGUUUGCAUCUCUGUGAAGUCACUUCAAAGGGUUCAUGAACCUCGGAUCUUACUCUCUUGAAGCGGACUGGCUCCUUUCCCAUCAACAGGUGCAUCCUGCAUCCUGCGAUGUUCAUUCUGCGAGCUGCAACCUGCAUUCUGCAAUCUGCCAUCAUCAACCUGCAACCUAGAGGUGUUUGCUUAUCCUCCGCCCAGCGAUCUAUCAGAGGUGCUGCUUAUACUCCACCCAGAGAUCUAGAGGUGUGUCUUAUCCAAGGUGCUUCCUACAGAAAAUAAAUGCCAUGAAAGCAGAGAUGAGUCUUUUGUGUUUAUUACUCUUUCUUCACAUGGAAAGAAUUGGGCUCAUGGGUAAUCUUCUGUCAGUAAAUACCACAGACAAAGUAACAGGCUGGGUA